rnacentral:lncRNA from 1 species
AAGACCUACCACCUGAUGUGGAGAGGCAGCAGGAAUCAGAUCUCUACAUUGAGCAUCCAUAUUCUUCGAUGGAACAUGGUAACAUAUCCCGUUUCACAAAUUGACAGAGGUCUUGCUCCAUGGUUGGCUGAUUAAGAGCUCAACUGCCUUCUCUGGUUAUCUCUCUUGUCACCAGGGCUCUCGAUCGAGGUUCCCCUUCUUUGACUUGGAGAUUUUGGCAGAGCAAUGGAGCUGGAACUUGGAAAUAGGUAGGGAGACAGAAUAUUCCAAAUUGAGAUGGGAGAAAUGAGCAGGUACGAUUUUGCUCGAGACGAUAGGUAAGGAUUGGGGUUUUUGCAGUUUCACAGUGGACAGUGAUGAGGUCUCACGGUGGUGAGAUGAAAAAAAACAUGAAAGAGAACC